AGAAAUCGUUAAGGGCGUAUGGCGGAUGCCUAGGCUUUCAGAGGCGAAGAAGGACGUGGUAAGCUGCGAAAAGCUACGGGGAUUGGCACACACGAAAUGAUCCGUAGAUAUCCGAAUGGGGCAACCCAGUAAGUUGAAGACUUACUACACCGUAAGGUGAGCGAACCCGGAGAACUGAAACAUCUAAGUACCCGGAGGAAAAGAAAUCGAAGAGAUUCCGUAAGUAGUGGCGAGCGAAAGCGGAUUAGCCCAAAAGUUUAUAUAUGUUUAGUGGAAUGUUUUGGAAAGAGCAAUCAUAGAAGGUGAAAAUCCUGUACACGAAAGGCAUAUAUAGAUGAAGAAAGAGUAGGGCGGGACACGUGAAAUCCUGUCUGAAUAUGGGGGGACCAUCCUCCAAGGCUAAAUACUCCUGAAAGACCGAUAGUGAACAAGUACUGUGAAGGAAAGGUGAAAAGCACUUCGAAUAGAAGGGUGAAAGAGAACCUGAAACCGUACGCCUACAAGCGGUCGGAGCAGUUAUAUACUGUGACGGCGUGCCUUUUGCAUAAUGAGCCUACGAGUUAAUUUUACUAGCGAGGUUAAGGUAUUAAGUACCGGAGCCGGAGCGAAAGCGAGUCUGAAUAGGGCGAAUAGUUAGUGGGAUUAGACGCGAAACCUUGUGAUCUACCCAUGGGCAGGUUGAAGCACUGGUAACACAGUGUGGAGGACCGAACCGGUUGACGUUGAAAAGUCUUCGGAUGACCUGUGGGUAGGGGUGAAAGGCCAAUCAAACUGGGAGAUAGCUCGUACUCCCCGAAAUGCAUUUAGGUGCAGCGUUGAUUUAGUUUAUUAGAGGUAGAGCUACUGAUUGGAUGCGGGGGUUUCACCGCCUACCAAUUCCUGACAAACUCCGAAUGCUAAUAAAUAUUGAUCAGCAGUGAGGGCAUGGGUGCUAAGGUCCAUGUCCGAGAGGGAAAGAACCCAGACCAACAGCUAAGGUCCCUAAAUAUAUGCUAAGUUGAAACAACGCGGUUGAACUGCAUUGACAGCUAGGAUGUUGGCUUGGAAGCAGCCAUUCAUUUAAAGAGUGCGUAACAGCUCACUAGUCGAGCGGUUCGGCAUGGAUAAUAAUCGGGCAUAAGCAUAUUACCGAAGCUAUGGCAACGAAAGUUGGGUAGGGGAGCAUUCUAUCGGCGCAGAAGCAUCACUGUGAGGUGUUGUGGAGCUUAUAGAAAAGAAAAUGUAGGCAUAAGUAACGAUAAAGCAGGCGAGAAACCUGCUCACCGAAAGACUAAGGGUUCCUCAGCCAUGCUAAUCAGCUGAGGGUUAGUCGGGACCUAACGCGAACCCGAGAGGGGAAGUGGAUGGACAAUGGGUUAAUAUUCCCAUACUUGCUCACGAAUAAAGGGGACGGUUCAGCCAGACUACUGGAGACUGACGGAAUAGUUAAGACCUAGCCUACGGGCGAAGUUGUUGUAGAGUAACUGGAUCCAAGAAAAGCCGAAGUGAAGCAACCCGUACCAUAAACCGACACAGGUAGUCGAGGAGAGAAUCCUAAGGUGCUCGAGUGAGUCGUGGCUAAGGAACUAGGCAAAAUAGUCUCGUAACUUCGGAAUAAGAGACGCCAACAGCGAUGUUGGCCGCAGUGAAGAGGCCCAGGCGACUGUUUAUCAAAAACACAGGACUCUGCUAAAUCGAAAGAUGCUGUAUAGGGUCUGACACCUGCCCGGUGCUGGAAGGUUAAGGAAGGUGCUUAGCGUAAGCGAAGGCAUUGACUGAAGCCCCAGUAAACGGCGGCCGUAACUAUAACGGUCCUAAGGUAGCGAAAUUCCUUGUCGGGUAAGUUCCGACCUGCACGAAUGGUGUAACGAUCUGUGGUGGAGCCGUUGUUGAAAUACCACCCUUUGCUUACUUGGAGCCUAACUUCUGAAAAAGAGUAAGAAGGACAUUGCGUGGUGGGUAGUUUGACUGGGGUGGUCGCCUCCAAAAGAGUAACGGAGGCUUUCAAAGGUACCCUCAGCACGCUUGGUAACCGUGCGUAGAGUGUAAUGGCAUAAGGGUGCUUGACUGUGAGACCAACAAGUCGAUCAGGUGCGAAAGCAGGACAUAGUGAUCCGGUGGUUCCGUAUGGAAGGGCCAUCGCUCAUAGGAUAAAAGGUACUCCGGGGAUAACAGGCUAGUCUCCCCCAAGAGCUCACAUCGACGGGGAGGUUCGGCACCUCGAUGUCGGCUCGUCACAUCCUGGGGCUGGAGAAGGUCCCAAGGGUUGGGCUGUUCGCCCAUUAAAGUGGCACGCGAGCUGGGUUCAGAACGUAAUACUAAUUACCCGUAGAUUUAUAGCCUAUUAGGUACUUGAGAGUGCAAGAAAGGUUUUGUCUUUGUGAAAGUUUUUGUCGCUAAAUAUAAAGUUAUUUAGGGUGGUUUUAGCAGAGGGGCUCACCUGUUCCCAUUCCGAACACAGAAGUUAAGCCCUCUAGCGCCGAUGGUACUGCGAGAGCGGGAGAGUAGGUCGCCGCCAGUUUUUAUUUUUGAACCUCUUUUUUUAUCGUUUGAUAGAAAAAGAGGUUUUUUCGUUUUUAAUAGUUUUGGUUUUUUUUA
rnacentral:rRNA from 1 species